GCAGUGCUGGUUCAGUGGUAGAAUUCUCGCCUUCCAAGUGAAAGACCUGGGUACAAUUCCCAGCCAAUGCA
rnacentral:tRNA from 1 species